AGGUUACUUACAAAAAUUUCCACUUACCACAGUAAUUUUGUAGGAAUGAGUGUGUUCCUUCAGUGCUAGAGAACAUGGCUUUGUGAUAAUAAGGGAAGAAAGAGGGAGUGGAAAAAAGACCAAAGGAAAGUAGAGGCUUUGCCUAGUACUGUCCUUUUACCAAAUAGCCUGAGUAGGGAAUGGGGGAAAGGCCAGGCAGUCCUUCAUCCCGAGUUCUUGUGUCAGUGAAGACUGAAAGCAAGUUGUGACAGUUUCACAGGGUUAAGACCAUGUUUUGGGUUGGUUGAUGUUUGUUCAGGCAGGAAGGCUGCCUGUGCAGGUAACUCUAAGCACUUCUAUUUUGUCUGACUCACAGGUUGCCACACCUGAAAAAAGGGAAGUCCAGUUAAGCUUGGAAACAGAGUGUACCUAAAAACUGCCUUUGUUAAAAACAAAACAACAAAUGAGGGGCAUCAUGGCUUGACCCGAAGAAGUCUGCAGUGUUUCUGAAAUGAGCUGUGACUGCUUUUUCAUCACUCUUAAGUGGAAGGCUUUCUGUGCUUGAUGUUGUCAAGAGGUCUGUGACCAGAAGGAAGGAAACAGCCCUUUCUAAAGAGGACAUUAUGUGAGUCCCCUAACAGAAACCCCUGCACCACAGCACUUCAGAGAGCCUGGCCAAUCGAAGCUAAAAGCUCAGGCUAAACUUGCUUAUGUGAGUCACCACUUUACUAACUUCUUACCUCAGGCAUGAUGGGAAGUAACAGUGGUGAUACUAAUUUACAUGAGAGCAAGAAACCU